rnacentral:rRNA from 1 species
UGGUGGAGUGAUUUGUCUGGUUAAUUCCGAUAACGAACGAGACCUUAACCUGCUAAAUAGUCACGCGAAUUUUUAUUCGCGGCAGACUUCUUAGAGGGACUAUUGACGUUUAGUCAAUGGAAGUUUGAGGCAAUAACA